rnacentral:rRNA from 1 species
UACAGAGGGUGCAAGCGUUGUUCGGAAUUAUUGGGCGUAAAGCGCGUGUAGGCGGCUUUGCAAGUCGGGUGUGAAAUCCCUCAGCUCAACUGAGGAAGUGCGCCCGAAACUGCAGAGCUUGAGUACCGGAGAGGAUGGCGGAAUUCCCGAAGUAGAGGUGAAAUUCGUAGAUAUCAGGAAGAACACCCGUGGCGAAGGCGGCUCUCUGGGACGUGACUGACGCUGAGACGCGAAAGCGUGGGGAGCAAACAGG